AGCAAAGUAAAACUUCAACAGCAAUGACUUUGCAACACAUUUCCCUUUGCGCUGCUCCUUUAAAUCCGCGUUUCAGUCAUCCGUGCCUCUGCGGUGCAAGCUUUCCUUUGCGCUUCAUUUUUUCUUUGCGCCUCGCUUUGUGUCCCUGAUUUGACGUGGGGGAGGGGUCAAGAGGUUGAGGUGUGUACAAGGGAUGAAGGCGCGUCCUUCUCGUUACGUCAUCAGCGCGAGCCCCAGACCGAGUGGAUCGAUCGAAAUGGAGGAGCAGAGACAUGCGGGUGAUGGAUCACAGGUGGAGGAAGAAGAAACUGAUCACUCUGCAUGGUAUGAUCAAAUUAUUAACUGUGGUUUUAUUGGGGCCGUUAAACCUGAGAACAAAGAGGCCAUAAUAAGAUCAAUUGUGCUUCAUGCAACUCUACGUUUGGUCCCUUUGUUGAAGCAAAUCUGAACAGGUCUUGAACUCUCCAAUCCUGGAAAACCAUUCAGGACUUUGCCACCAGUUCUUUUUCCCUGAUGUGGUGGAUGAUGAUGAUAAGGCUGAUGCAGACUUCAUCAUGCAGAACAUUCUUCCGAAAAUGUCGGAGAAGGGAUCAGUACAAGAGACUUAUGAAACCGCUAUAAUCAACUUUCUGCAAGACUUUCUCCAAGAAAUUGAAAGCUGUGUUAUGUAUGAACUGACAGAGUUGAUUUAGUAUAAAUAUUGUAAAAAAAACCCCACAAAUUAAUGUUAAAAUGUAAUUGAUUUAAUUCAGACAAUAUCAACCCCAUCCAAGCCAUUCAAUUUGACAACGGUUUAAACUGAAUUUAAAAUUAUACUAAAGGUAUGGAAUUGUACAUGUUCAGGAAAAUAAAAACUUUUAUACAUUGGUAAAUGUUCUUAUGGUUUUGAAAUUUACUGUGUAUGUGUAGAGAACACAACGUGUUACAUAAUGUAAAAUUGUAUAUCUUAAUGAAUGUGUUAAGAGAACACAAGUUGUUAUACUAGCCAUUUUCUGCUUUAAAUAUAGCCAAUACAGAAAAUAAAACAAGCAUGCAAUGUCA